CAGUCGCCGCGGGAAUACGAAGGGUGCAAGCGUUAAUCGGAAUUACUGGGCGUAAAGCGUGCGUAGGCGGUUUGUUAAGUCUGUUGUGAAAUCCCCGGGCUCAACCUGGGAAUGGCAAUGGAUACUGGCAAGCUAGAGUGUGUCAGAGGAUGGUGGAAUUCCCGGUGUAGCGGUGAAAUGCGUAGAGAUCGGGAGGAACAUCAGUGGCGAAGGCGGCCAUCUGGGACAACACUGACGCUGAGGCACGAAAGCGUGGGGAGCAAACAGGAUUAGAGACCCGCGUAGUCCCUGUCUCUUAUAC
rnacentral:rRNA from 1 species